GCACGACUCGACUCGCACACUUGGCUUGGCUAGUUGCACGCUUAGCAACGGCUGCAAAAUGGCGGCUCCCUGCGACACUGAAGAGCUGGGUGCUACCAGCGAAGAUGCGAACCCAUUUUCCUUUCAGCGCUUUGUUAGCACGCGUAGCGCGUCUGGAUCUGAAAGCGCUCCAAAUGAUCUUGGGGGUUUAAUUACUUGUGGCCAGAAUGUGCGCCAAACUCGUCGGAAAUGCCUUGUUGUCGUAGACGAUAAGCCAAAAGCACAAAUUAAAAGGCCGCAGUCUUUGGAUAUAAUUGCACAUCCAAGCUCGGUGCCAGCACGACAUCCUUCCCUAAGUGAUGACACGGAUGGCAACUACUCUUCGAGCAGCAACCAAGUAAAUGUUCCUGAGUCCGCCUGGCUUCAAGAACCUCUUGAUGCAAGCCCUAAGGCACAGUACCAGAUAGACAAGAGUUUAAUUGAGAGACUUGAAGAAAAGAACAAGCAGUUGCAGAGACAGCUUGAAGAUACACAGAAGGUCAACAAAGAGCAGUUGAAAAGAUUGAAGAGCUUGGAGGAACAGUUAGUACAGCAACAAGCUAGAGAACAUGAAGAAACUGCUGCCUUGGAAAGGAUGGUACAACAAGUGGAAUGCAGCCUUAAAGCCGCGUUGGAGAGGGCAUCCUCUGCUGAGGAGGCAACCCAAAGUCUUAAGCAGGAAGUAAAGACACUACAGGUCCCUGCUUGAAGGUGUCAACCAUCUGCGACUUUAUUCUGACGUGGUUGAGAGCUGGACCAAAGUGCACGAGGAUUCCUCAUGAUAAUUGGUUGAAAGUGGUGUGCCAAUGAAACCAUCCACCUACAGGCCAUACUGGUUGCUUACUCCGUGUACAGUGCAGUUGCUUUCUAGGAAGAAGAUGUAAACAAUAAUAACAGUCCAUGUGAUAAUAUAAUAGUACACUGUGCCACUUUUCUGCUCGACAGAAUGCAAAACUGUAAAACUGACUUCUAGCGUCUUUGUACUACGAUGUCUGAUGCGUUUUUGCAUAAACAGAACAUUCCAAUCUUGCAGCAUUGCUAAAGUGGGUUUAACCAACUAGGUGUUAUGUUGCUUUGUGAUGAUAAUGGCACUAUAUAUACUGCUGCAUACAUGGUGUUUCAGCUAACAUGUACUGUGCCAUUAAAAGCAAAAUGCUACAAAUUGUGAGAAAUGCUACUACUAAUAGGAUUCUGCAACACUAAUCUUAUGUAAAUAGGUUCUGUUCUUCUUAAAUAACAAAUUACCUGAAGUUAAUUAGCCAGAUUAGUAAAUGCAUGUCUAAUGGUAUACACUCAAACCUCGAUAUAACGAACACGGAUAUAACGAAUUAUCGGAUAUAACGAAGUAAAUAAAAAAUAGUCUUGUCAUAGAUACAGUGUCAUGAAUGUACGUUUAUAACAAAUUUUCGGAUUUAACGAAGUUAUUUUCGUGUCAGAUGUGACUGUUAUAAUGAGAUUAUAGUGUAAGUGCAAAUACUAAAUUCUGCUUUGUAUUUGAAGACAGGUCUUUCUUUUCUGUGUUUUAAAUAUUGCAAAGAAGAAAAAUGAAAACUGAGUGCAUGUCUGCCUGCUUGCAUGUGUGAAAGCAGUGCUCUUGAAGGUUGUUUUGAGAAGCUAACUCUACUAAACUACGAAAUGGCUGAAUUCAUGGCCAAGUAAAAGUGACACGGCAUCAGUGUAUUCACUUGCCCCUGCCAAAACAGUCAUAAUGCCUAUCACUCUCACAGGCUGGUAUGCACUGCUCUAUUUCAUUUUAGCAGCAGCUAAUUGUUACACCAAAGCUUAUAACUUUUGCACAGUUUUAAAGUAGCAAUUUCGUGCAGCCUGGCGAGUUGAAAACAUCUUUUGAGAUUGCAACUGUGAGGCAGGCAAGCGUUUGCUCAUUUUUUAUUUUCAAAAAUUUUGUGCCACAACUUUCCAGUGCAGGAAAAAUAACUAUGAAAAAUCUAGUGGGUUUGAAACAGUUUAACGUGUAUAACGUUUUGAAAUGCAAAGUGCAACUCUUUUAGUGAAUUCCAUUAAAUGACUCAUUAAUAAUUUGGUUAGUUAUUUUUACAAAUGGGUUAAGUAAGUGUUAUGGAAAAGAUACCUAUGUUCUCAGAAGACAACUGCUGACAGAACACAGUUGGUCUAACCAUCAUAUCUCAUAUUCCAUUUUCUUAAAUAGCUUGGUCCUUAAUUAGUAACUAGGAUGCCUUGAAUAUCAGUCCUUAUUAUUUAUAAAUAUUAUGCCUGCCUGUGCACACAGUUUUAAAAUCCUUUUAUUUUUUCUGCUCACAAUUAGUUGCCAGGUCACUGAAGCCUUGGGAGCCCUGUUACCAGAACUAUUAAAAUUUGUGAUGUUUGGAAUUGAAACCAUAUUUGUUCAUUAAGUUAUAAGGAUAUGUCUCGUUCUAAAACAGUCUCUCUUCACACUGAAGGAGCAGCAAAUUAGCCUGCAGCUCCUUAUAGCUGGCGCCAAUGUGAGUGACAGUUGCGACAUUGUAUGAGUAACAUAUUUGCACUCUCGUACAGUGCACUUGGAAUAUUGCUCAACCAACUAGCCAACUUCACACCCUUGUACAAUAUGUAUUUUUAUUUAUUUGAUCAUAUCAUCUUACCUGCAAUGGUGUAUUAAGUCAAUGGCAUUCCACUGCUAAGCUUGAUGCCAUGGCUUGGCCACAUUUCAAUGGGGCAAAAUGCAAAAAUGCCUUUGUGCUUGGAUUUAGGAGCAAAGUAAGGCUAAAAUAUUCCACAAUCCCUUAUGUCUAUCAUGUGCCUCAUAUUCAUACUGUAGUUUCAGCUUGUAAAAACUCAGAAUUUAUAUUUAGAUAUUGUGUUCACCUAUGUAGAACACCUUCUGAAGUAAGGCUUCCUAGAACUUUACAUUGAAGCACAGUGAAGUUGAACUGAGUAAAGCUUGAGAACGGGCUAGUUGGUAUUUGAUCACUAGUGGACAUGCUUGUUUUUCCUUCAUGCUUCAAGUUUACUAGAGAAAUUUGACUAGUCAGUCUCCAUUUUACAUGGUCAACAGUGCAGACAGGGGUCACAUCUCCCAUUCAUCUCUGUUGCUGCUUGUACUGAUUUGCUAGCGAUAUAGUUCAAGGCAGAAAUAAAAGUCACAAUCAAUGUUGAUGUAUAUGUUUAUUAUGUGACUACUGCAAUUUCUGUGCCAACAAUAUUGGUACACUGCAUAAGUUAUAGUGAUGUGAGUCACAUUCUUACAUGAUUAUCAUGAUCAUCAAAUGAAUAGUUUAUGUCUACAAAGUGCAAUUCUCAGGACACUGCAUCUGCAUUAAAGAAAUUAACUCAACAGUUAAAUUAGUUACUUAUGUAAAUAUUUCUUUUCAGUUUCAAUUCUAUUGUUUUAAUUUUUUAAUGCGCCUUCUCGCUUUUAGAGUGUUUAUGACAAAAUGUGCUUUUUGUAGUAUGUAGAAAGUAUGAGCUACAAUUGCUUGUCGCCAGUGCUCACUUGUCAUAGUUUUGUCAUCAGCUGCCACAUCGUCAUAUAUAUGAGCAAACUAGCACAGGCAGACAGCUGGCAACUGGGGCUAUUUCUUGAGAGUAAGUAUGUGUUCUAAACCAGUGUUUGAGGGUAGGAUAUCCCAGUGUACAGAAUAACAUUGCAAAAUACUAACAUGCCAGUCAAAGCGGUGGGUCUAAGGUAGCGUCAUCUCCUGUGGCAUUAGACCUGUCUUUCGAUUCUGACCUGCUCAACGCUCCUUAUUAUUCAACUUGUGAAAAGCCUGCGUCCACUGUAUUGGCUAGUGUAUCCAGAUGUAUUAUCCUUGGCACUUUUCUCCCAGCAUCUCCUUUAUCCCUUAUUUAAUGUGAAGGUUCAAAUAAGAUGGACUGUAUAUUUUUUCUCUGCUUCCUUGAUGCUAAAAGCUUGCAUUUGCAAUCUGGAAGUUGGAUAUGUUGAGCCAUCCGUACUUUAGGGAUGGCUCAGUAGUGAUGCCAGAGUAAGUGACGCCAAAGGAUUAUCACUUCAGACCGCCCUCUUCAUUAGACUCAUGAUGUGAUGUUGGAAAUUACACUGGUUUUGAAUGGUCACAUUAUCUUGUUUUUGCCUGAAUUUUUUCUCCAAAGAAAAAUGUUAUGUAUGCACGUAAAAGUACAUAUGGGAGGUUGGACCAUUCAAGCAUAAUUUAGCACUAUUUGUUAUUCCAGAGUAAGAUUUUGUGUGGUUUUUACAAAAACUUAUGUGGACUGUUGCUUUGUUUAAGGUAUUGCAACAUUUAUAAUGAAAUAAUGUCAUUGCAGUGCUUUUGUUUAGGUAGUCAUGUUACAUUAAUUACAUAAGCGUAUGUAUCUGUGCACUAGUCUCAUGUUUGUUUCAGUGAGUUACUGUUAAUUGACUUGUGUCGCUCAUCAUCUCAUCAAUAUUCAUAUGUUUGCAUGUUUUAGACAUAUUUACAUUCCAUUUACUCUCCGUGCUCUACUCACCAUGUUUGCUGGGUAUAGUCCAUUGCCAAGCCAUUCAUGGCUUUUUCAUGUUUGUAUAAUUUCAUGUUGAUAUAGAGAUUUGAUUUGCAUUGAAAUGGGUAUCUCCUGUAAAAGAAUGCAUUGUUACCUUCACAUUUCCUUACUGCAUGUCCUUUGGCUUGCAAGGCAAAGCAUCUCGCAUCUUAUGGCAACCUCCUGAAAGCAUUGAUACAGUUGAACAUUGAUUUGUCAAACACAGAGGCAAGUAUAACAUUUUCUUUUUUUGGCCAUGCCAUAUUUCAACAAGUAUCAUACUGCUAUGAGUAAACUGCAAAUGCAUGAGUUGAGACAAUAUUGGCUACAGUGAAGUGAAUAUAUGUUUGUUUGCUGUUCAGAAUGUAUAUUUCAGUAGAAAUAAUUUCAUACUUAGCAAGAGGGAACUUAAAAAUGGCAUGUUCUGGCAUGUUCUGGUUUAUGCUCAAUUUGGCCAGCAGGUUGGCUCGGCUGGUUCACAGCCAGCAAACCAACAUGACAAUCCCAUGUGAUCCUACUGACCACAUAGUUGCAUGUUAAUAAAGGCUUAAUGCACAUGCCUAUAAUUUAUCAUGUUUGUUGUGCCACAUGUGAGCGUGGCAAGCCAUUGUAAUUGACAGGAGACCUUUUGCUGGCCCAUUGGAGCAUUCAGCUCCUUUGGAAUGUCUGUCUGCACAAAGCGGUUUCAUAGUAAGUGAGAACAUGCCCACGUUACUGUUUGGCAACAACUGUAGAUGCCAGGAUUUAGCUUCUUCUCGCUUAAGCAUCUCUUACCAAUUUAGAAGCACAGAACUGGCAUGUCACACAAUCAUGCCAACAUGCUGAAAGAGGCCCAAAGACAAAUAAUAAUUGUAUGUUGAAGCAUUUGUGACUUAAUGAUGCGAUUACUAGCUCAAAGGCUAGCUGUCAAAAAUGCGAGAUGCAGUAAUUUUGUGUCAGUGUUCCCUUAAGGUAACAUACAGAAUGGUACACCAGCUUUAGUUCUUUAGGAACAAAAUUGCUUAAACACCUUUAUAGUUCAUGUUCAUGUGUAGGACUUUUUAUGAAAGCUAUUGCCAGUUAUAUGUGUGACGUGUAGUACAGCGCUUUAAACCCUUCUGUGCCAUGAACGAGCUGGGCUGGUCCACACAUUUGUGUUAAAAACAGCCAAGAACAAGUCCAAUGCGUCGAUGGUACAUGGUCGAUGGUACAUGGUCGAUGGUACCUUUUCUUGCACUGCCAUGGAUGAGCUGGCUUCGUGUCGGUGCUUUGCCGUGCUCUGGUAGAAGGCAUCACACACCCCAUUGGGCAGUGAAAGCAGGAUCAAGUUUGCUUGCAUGGAGAAAUUAAAACACGUAGGCAAGAGUGAUCCACAAUAAAUAAAUUUGCCCAUUUUUAGUCUGAAUUUGGGGUUACAGUGUGGCAUGGAAGCGGGAUAGAUAACUAUGUAGAAGAUAAAAAAAGUUUUAACAGGAUGUGUGCAAUAGCAAAACUUGAAUAAUCUACCUGAAGAAGACUAGAUAUGAAAUAAAUGCUCAAGUGACUGAAAUUAUAUUACAUAUAGUGAUCAUUUUAUAGUGCAUAUAUGCUGUUCACUUUUAGCAACUUCAAUUAUUAAGUGCUGUAUUGCUUUUUUAAAAAGAGCACAAAGGUACACUCUUCAUGAUUGCCUUGAAUUCUUGUGUCCAAAAGACUACAAAGUGUAUGCAAAUGAUAACACAGUCACUGCUGGUUUUAAUGAUAGUCUUGUGAUGUGAAGAAAUCUGAUUUGCAUUUAUAAUUCCUGACAGUAAAAAAAUUAUGCACUUUUGUCUAAAUCCUGAUUGAAAUAAAGGUAGUAUUUUUUGCUAUG
rnacentral:misc_RNA from 1 species